rnacentral:rRNA from 1 species
CAGCCGCCGCGGGAAAACGUAGGUGGCAAGCGUUGUCCGGAAUUAUUGGGCGUAAAGGGCUCGCAGGCGGUUUCUUAAGUCUGAUGUGAAAGCCCCCGGCUCAACCGGGGAGGGUCAUUGGAAACUGGGAAACUUGAGUGCAGAAGAGGAGAGUGGAAUUCCUCGUGUAGCGGUGAAAUGCGUAGAGAUGUGGAGGAACACCAGUGGCGAAGGCGACUCUCUGGUCUGUAACUGACGCUGAGGAGCGAAAGCGUGGGGAGCGAACAGGAUUAGAUACCCCCGUAGUCCCUGUCUCUUAUAA